rnacentral:rRNA from 1 species
GGACUACCCGGGUUUCUAAUCCUGUUUGAUACCUAUGCUUACGUAAUUCAGUGUCCGAUUUAUAUAGGCUGUUGCCUUCGCCAAUUGAAUGUCUUUUCAAUAUUUAAGAAUUUCACCUCUACACUGAAAUUACAACGUUACCCUCUAUGCAUCACUAAGAUUUAAAGUCUUUCUAAAAUUUUCAAAGUUAAGCUUUGAUUAUAUAUUAAAACUUUUAAAACAACCUACUUACCCUUUACGCCCAGUCAUGAUGAAUAACACUAGCCCUUUCCGUCUUACCGCGGCUGCUGGCAC